rnacentral:rRNA from 1 species
GGGUCAGUAGGUUGGUCGUGCCACCGGUACGUACUGGUCUCACUGAUUCCUCCUUCCCGAAGAACCGUAAUGCCAUUAAUUUGGUGUUGCGGGGAAACAGGACUGUUACUUUGAAAAAAUUAGAGUGUUUAAAGCAAGCUAACGCUUGAAUACAUUAGCAUGGAAUAAUGAAAUAGGACGAUCGAUCCUAUUUUGUUGGUUUCUAGGAUUGACGUG